AAAGCACUCUUCGGCCCCAAAUCUGCCUCCAGUGAAGUGGGAAAAGUGAAGACUCACAGUGAGUUGAAGGAUGGAAAAAAGGAGUUUCACUGGCCAGAGCUUUGAAGUAAUCCUUGCUCACAUAGAAGGCAAUAGCAUGAGUUUAGGCAGUAGGUGGAAAAAUAUCUGACUGGAUCCUACCAGAAUGCCCUGGCAAUUCAGCAGAUUUGCUGGAAGGACAAUUUGGGAAGUCUUGGGGAAAUAUGCUUCUGCAAGUCCUGCAUUGUCUCUAUGGGGUUUCAAAAAGGAGUUUCCUCAUAUGCCUAACCAGCUUCAAGAUGGUAUUGUUGCCUUUAUCAUAAACUUUGAGGGUCAGCAAGGCAUUAUUAUCCAGAUUGAGCUCUCCUUGCAGGAACACCAGAUACAAGCCAUCACAUUCAACCUGGAUUCUGCCAUUUGUGACAUUCCAGUCGCCACUCCACCUAUUUCAUCGUCAUUUCUGCUGAGGAAUGGAAGGUCCUGGCAUGUGCCCUCUGUUCAGCACAUUCCCCGCUAUCUUGCUUCCCUAAAGCUGAAGUUGUUCUCCUGCCAACUGCCGUAA
rnacentral:lncRNA from 1 species